rnacentral:rRNA from 1 species
UACAGGGGGGGCAAGCGUUGUUCGGAAUUACUGGGCGUAAAGGGUCUGUAGGUGGCCAACUAAGUCAGACGUGAAAUCCCUCAGCUUAACUGGGGAACUGCGUCUGAUACUGGAUGGCUUGAAUGUGGGAGAGGGUAGUAGAAUUCCUGGUGUAGUGGUGAAAUACGUAGAUAUCAGGAGGAAUACCGGUGGCGAAGGCGGCUACCUGGCCCAACAUUGACACUGAGGCCCAAAAGCGUGGGGAUCAAACAGG